GGAACCACAGAUACUUGAUAUUAUCUCAGUAAAAAAGUCAUACUAGCCAAUUAAAAUCAGGACCCACUUUGACUUCAGUAACUGUUGGAGCACAUACAACCAAGGAUAGUGUGGUUUUGGUUAAUAAGAUCAGAAGCAGAGGGAACACGGCUGAGUAGGAUAAGGAUUAAGAAUUAUAUGGACUUUGAAUGAUAAUUCAGGUGGGUGAAGUAGCUGGGAGAGGAAAGAUGAUACUGCUAUCAUCCAAAGAGUUUAGAGAUUGUUACAUCUAUGAAAGGUCACAAUUGAAAAGUAAAAGGAGCCAGGGAUAGGGAUGAUAGAAAGGUGAUCAGACAGGAGUAGGAGGCUGGAAGAUAUAAUGUAAAGAAUGCCUUAUAGUAAACUGGGUGAAGGGGAUGAAUAACCCUAAAAUAUAACAGCAAUGAUGAAAGUAAAACCACAUGAGGCAUAAGUAAGAAUACGAACUAAAUAAUAGAAAGCAAUUAAUAAAGAGAUGCCUAUGGAUGAAUUGCUGACACCACUGUGCUGAGCUGAAGGUGAUGUUCUCACCCCUCUGGUUCCCAGAGUCUCCAUUUGGUGCUGUUUCUGAGUCAUUUUAAAUUAGUAGUUUUCAUGGUGGGCAGCUUGUUCCGUAGAGAAAACAUGCCGAUAUUUGCAAGAUUUUUUUUCUUUCUGAAACUCAAGGGUAGGUGGAAUGGUAAUGGUGGGAUCUUUGAAGAGAAGCCCAGGAUGCUGCUAAACUCAGCACAGGACAGUCCACUCAAGUGAAGAACCCCGCCCAUGAAAUGGAGCCCUCCACAUUCAGGGGGAUUCUUCUCUACUCAGUUGAACUUCUGUGGAAAUACCCUCACAGAUGUAUCUAGAGUGAGGAGAUCCACACAACCAUGGAAGGAUCAACUGAGAGAAUGUCUACAAAUCACCUAGGAGAAAAAGCAGCACAAGCCGGGAAGGUCAACUCUGCUGAAUCAUUGCCUUUCUUCUGUAGCUCUGGUCCUUCUGCUGAGGAGUGCAGACUUUGGAAGAAAGCACACUUUGCUCAGUCCUCAAAGCUACCAAGACUCAUCCCUUCAAGCCUACAGAGCCAUGUUCCCAAAGGGCAAUUGCCACACAAGAAUAUAUGGAGGCAUCUGUCAUUAUUCUAUGUCUUCCCCACUUGCAAAGGAAAGAUUAGUUUUCUCUAGUGGUGCUCACUUCAGAGUACCUAACAGUGGACAACCAACCCAGAAAGCUCCCAAAGGGAUUUUUGUAGACUUUUGCUCUCAUAGAACUUUGAUUGGCCACUUUCUGUCUAUUAGUCUUAUAUAUUAUGGUUUCUGAUUUUGUGUUUGUGUCUGUGAGUUUCUUUUUUGUUGUUUUAUUUGUUUACUGUUUUAUUUUAAGAGAGAGAAAGGGUAUAGAAUUGGGGAGGAUCUGGGUGGAACUGGGUAAUAUACUUGUAUCAGAAUAUACUUUAUAAUUUUUAAAUUAAAAAUAAUGAACAAACAAA
rnacentral:sRNA from 1 species